UCUUCGGAGAGUUUGAUCCUGGCUCAGGAUGAACGCUGGCGGCGUGCCUAAUACAUGCAAGUCGAGCGAACUGAUUAGAAGCUUGCUUCUAUGACGUUAGCGGCGGACGGGUGAGUAACACGUGGGCAACCUGCCUGUAAGACUGGGAUAACUUCGGGAAACCGAAGCUAAUACCGGAUAGGAUCUUCUCCUUCAUGGGAGAUGAUUGAAAGAUGGUUUCGGCUAUCACUUACAGAUGGGCCCGCGGUGCAUUAGCUAGUUGGUGAGGUAACGGCUCACCAAGGCAACGAUGCAUAGCCGACCUGAGAGGGUGAUCGGCCACACUGGGACUGAGACACGGCCCAGACUCCUACGGGAGGCAGCAGUAGGGAAUCUUCCGCAAUGGACGAAAGUCUGACGGAGCAACGCCGCGUGAGUGAUGAAGGCUUUCGGGUCGUAAAACUCUGUUGUUAGGGAAGAACAAGUACGAGAGUAACUGCUCGUACCUUGACGGUACCUAACCAGAAAGCCACGGCUAACUACGUGCCAGCAGCCGCGGUAAUACGUAGGUGGCAAGCGUUAUCCGGAAUUAUUGGGCGUAAAGCGCGCGCAGGCGGUUUCUUAAGUCU
rnacentral:rRNA from 1 species